rnacentral:rRNA from 1 species
ACAUGUGUACAACAUAGCGUUAAUGCACUGGAUCCCAUUAGAACUUCGAAGUUAAACGCGCUUAGGCUAGAGUAGUUUUGGGAUGGGUGAUCAUCCGGGAAGUCCUAGUGUUUUACAUGCU